AGAACGAACGCUGGCGGCAGGCUUAACACAUGCAAGUCGAACGAGACUUCGGUCUAGUGGCGCACGGGUGAGUAACGCGUGGGAACCUGUCCUAUGGUACGGAAUAACAUCGGGAAACUGGUGCUAAUACCGUAUAAGCCCCGAGGGGGAAAGAUUUAUCGCCAUAGGAGGGGCCCGCGUAGGAUUAGCUAGUUGGUGAGGUAACGGCUCACCAAGGCGACGAUCCUUAGCUGGUCUGAGAGGAUGAUCAGCCACACUGGGACUGAGACACGGCCCAGACUCCUACGGGAGGCAGCAGUGGGGAAUAUUGGACAAUGGGGGAAACCCUGAUCCAGCCAUGCCGCGUGUGUGAUGAAGGCCUUCGGGUUGUAAAGCACUUUCGCACGUGACGAUGAUGACGGUAACGUGAGAAGAAGCCCCGGCUAACUUCGUGCCAGCAGCCGC
rnacentral:rRNA from 1 species